UGGGGAAUAUUGCACAAUGGGCGCAAGCCUGAUGCAGCCAUGCCGCGUGUGUGAAGAAGGCCUUCGGGUUGUAAAGCACUUUCAGCGGGGAGGAAGGCGAUAAGGUUAAUAACCUUGUCGAUUGACGUUACCCGCAGAAGAAGCACCGGCUAACUCCGUGCCAGCAGCCGCGGUAAUACGGAGGGUGCAAGCGUUAAUCGGAAUUACUGGGCGUAAAGCGCACGCAGGCGGUCUGUCAAGUCGGAUGUGAAAUCCCCGGGCUCAACCUGGGAACUGCAUUCGAAACUGGCAGGCUAGAGUCUUGUAGAGGGGGGUAGAAUUCCAGGUGUAGCGGUGAAAUGCGUAGAUAUAUGGAGGAACACCAGUGGCGAAGGCGGCUCUCUGGUCUGUAACUGACGCUGAGGCUCGAAAGCGUGGGGAGCAAACAGG
rnacentral:rRNA from 1 species